rnacentral:rRNA from 1 species
AUUGAACGCUGGCGGCAGGCUUAACACAUGCAAGUCGAGCGAGCGGCGGACGGGUGAGUAAUGUCUGGGAAACUGCCUGAUGGAGGGGGAUAACUAAUGGAAACGGUAGCUAAUACCGCAUACCAUCAGAUGUGCCCAGAUGGGAUUAGCUAGGAGGUGGGGUAAUGGCUCACCUAGGCGACGAGCCCUAGCUGGUCUGAGAGGAUGACCGGCAACACUGGAACGUGGACACGGUCCAGACUCCUACGGGAGGCAGCAGUGGGGAAUAGUGCACAAUGGGGGCAAGCCUGAUGCAGUCAUGCCGCGUGUGUGAAGAAGGCCUUCGGGUUGUAAAGCACUUUCAGCGAGGAGGCGUUACUCGCAGAAGAAGCACCGGCUAACUCCGUGCCAGCAGCCGCGGUAAUUC